rnacentral:lncRNA from 1 species
GCUAGCAAUCAGCAAGACUCCGUGGGCGUAGGACCCUCCAAGCCAGGUGCGAUAUAAUGUCGUGGUGCGCCGUUUUUUAAGCUGGUUGGAAAAGCGCAGUAUUCGCGUGGGAGUGACCCGAUUUUCCAGUGAGAUGAACCCGGUACCUCAGAUUGAAAUGCAGAAAUCACCCGUCUUCUGCGUCGCUCACGCUGGGAGCUGUAGACCGGAGCUGUUCCUAUUCGGCCAUCUUGGCUCCUCCCUCAGUUCUGGAGACUGGGACAUCCAAGGUCAAUGUGCUGGCAGAUUCAAUGUCUGGAGUGAAAUACAUCACCGCUUUCCCUGCUCCCGCCGCCAUUAAAAUUGUGUUUGGCAUCUGACCACCAAGAUACAGAUAUUUCCUAGACUGUUUUGCAGCUAGGUACUUAGUCUUGAAGCCAUCAAGCUCCAAUUGAUCCUCACUGAGGAAUACUGUCCUCUAAAUAUUAAGAAUCAGCUUUCUACAGGGGACCCUCAGACUGCCCAACUGUGGGACAUGAGAAAGGCAAGAUCUUGUCAUGGUCUCCCUUGGACCUGGCUGGAUACCACUUUCAGCAAGUCAUGGAGCCAAUUCUUCCCUGACAGCUAGCAAGAGGCCAAGACCCACAGAACCACCACCACCACUUCUCUAUCAGCAGGAAGCAAUUGCAGAAACCUGACUUUCAUUCACUUUCCCCCAAAUAUUGUGGUAUUGGACUCUUGAGUGGGGAAAUAUUACAGUAGGUAGCUAGUUAGACAUAAAGAGAGCAGGAAAAGUAUUUCCCCAUCCCCAGUCAAGAAUGUCAG